rnacentral:rRNA from 1 species
UACAGAGGUCUCGAGCGUUAGGCGGAAUCACUGGGCUUAAAGCGUGUGUAGGCGGAUCGGUAAGUACCUUGUGAAAUCCCACAGCUUAACUGUGGAACUGCUUGGUAUACUGCCAGUCUUGAGCCAGCUAGGGGCUACCGGAACAAACGGUGGAGCGGUGAAAUGCGUAGAUAUCGUUUGGAACGCCAAUGGUGAAAACAGGUAGCUGGGGAUGUGCCGACGCUGAGACACGAAAGCCAGGGGAGCGAACGGG